rnacentral:rRNA from 1 species
GGUAGCUAGCGGGAGGCCUAACACAUGCAAGCCGAGCGGUAUUGUUUCUUCGGAAAUGAGAGAGCGGCGUACGGGUGCGGAACACGUGUGCAACCUGCCUUUAUCUGGGGGAUAGCCUUUCGAAAGGAAGAUUAAUACUCCAUAAUAUAUUGAUUGGCAUCAAUUAAUAUUGAAAGCUCCGGCGGAUAGAGAUGGGCACGCGCAAGAUUAGCUAGUUGGUGAGGUAACGGCUCACCAAGGCGAUGAUCUUUAGGGGGCCUGAGAGGGUGAUCCCCCACACUGGUACUGAGACACGGACCAGACUCCUACGGGAGGCAGCAGUGAGGAAUAUUGGUCAAUGGGUGCAAGCCUGAACCAGCCAUCCCGCGUGAAGGACGACUGCCCUAUGGGUUGUAAACUUCUUUUGUAUAGGGAUAAACCUACCCUCGUGAGGGUAGCUGAAGGUACUAUACGAAUAAGCACCGGCUAACUCCGUGCCAGCAGCCGCGGUAAUACGGAGGGUGCAAGCGUUAUCCGGAUUUAUUGGGUUUAAAGGGUCCGUAGGCGGACUUAUAAGUCAGUGGUGAAAGCCUGUCGCUUAACGAUAGAACUGCCAUUGAUACUGUAAGUCUUGAGUAUAAUUGAGGUAGCUGGAAUAAGUAGUGUAGCGGUGAAAUGCAUAGAUAUUACUUAGAACACCAAUUGCGAAGGCAGGUUACCAAGUUAUAACUGACGCUGAGGGACGAAAGCGUGGGGAGCGAACAGGGUUAGAUACCCUGGUAGUCCACGCCGUAAACGAUGCUAACUCGUUUUUGGGGCUUCGGCUUCAGAGACCAAGCGAAAGUGAUAAGUUAGCCACCUGGGGAGUACGCUCGCAAGAGUGAAACUCAAAUGAAUUGACGGAAGGGCGAAUUCCA